UGGCAGAAUUAAGUCUGUUGCCAUAACAGUAACUUCUCUCUAAUAAAUUUCCCUCUCUGGAGAUUUCAACACUUCAAAAGACGAUACAGCAUACCUUUUGCAAACCAGAAAAUGAUAAGGUUUCACGCUGGCCAUUGAGCCAAUGAUUACCGCUGUACCCCAAACGUGUAAUUACAGAGCGCUUGCUGGUGGCAGCUCCGAGUGUGGGGAGAAAUGUCAGGUUGGGGUUGGGGUUCAAAGUUAGGAGCAGGUUCCUCGCUCUGCAGCUGCUAUAAUUACACAGCUCGGUACAUGGGAGCCAUUUAUCUUCCGCCAACCUUGGUAUUUACUGGAAUCUGAGCUCGGGAUUCUUUGACUCCACGACUAAUACAAGUCCGAACCAAGUUUAUUGGUGACAUCCAGUUUCUUCCUCGGAUCAAAGUUUAUGUUAAAAGUAUAUGCUGAUGAGAAAGAAGUCUUAAAUUAGCGGGAAGUUUAUUUGCAUGCAAUGAAAGCAGCGCCACCCAUGGAGGUGUUGGAAGGGACAAACUCCCUUGGACCAAUUUCACAAGGUCACUACACCCAGUCAUAAGGGAUUUGCUGUCAUAUCCUGGUCACUUUACAAAGGCGCCCUAGAGACCCACAGUGGCGUCUGGAAUAAAGGUAUUUCAGAAGACCAAACAGGAGAGAUGAAAUCCAGAGACUUUAAUGCACAUUGCUGUACUGGAACAGGGAGCAACCUGAAGCUGGGAAGAUGAGUUGGAAGCCUGGCAGUCACUCAGGUGAGAGGUAAU